UACGACGGGGGCUAGCGUUGUUCGGAAUCACUGGGCGUAAAGCGCACGCAGGCGGAUCGAUAAGUCGGGGGUGAAAGCCCGGGGCUCAACCUCGGAAUUGCCUUCGAUACUGUCGGUCUCGAGUCCGGGAGUGGUGAGUGGAAUUCCUAGUGUAGAGGUGAAAUUCGUAGAUAUUAGGAAGAACACCAGUGGCGAAGGCGGCUCACUGGCCCGGUACUGACGCUCAGGUGAGAAAGCGUGGGGAGCAAACAGG
rnacentral:rRNA from 1 species